GCCACUGACUACACGAUGAUGGGAGGAUGGACGCCGCCUUCAGGAGCUGGAGGAGCAGAAGACGUGAACAAAGAAUAAACCCAUAGGACCUUACAAAAUGCAUCUGCUGCAGAAGAAAAAGCAAGGGUUGGAACUCAACCCGAUCGUAGCAGUGCUUUUGACACUGAAGAUCAAGAACAAAGUCUCCAAUUAUGUAACAAAGAAACAUAAUUGAGGUGGAAGGAUCCAGAAGAAAGGAACCAGUGAUGAUGAGGACAGAGGGCUCUCCACGGGAAGGUGGGAGAGAAUUUAGUUCUCUGUGCCGUGAAGAUGGGAUUGGAGCCAUACAUGUGAGUGCGUCACACAUGUGACUGAGAUGUGCAAGUCCCUGAAUGAUACAAGUGAAUGAAGGGGAAAUGCAGAUAAAACAAAUACUGUUUUGUUCAGACAAAUGCUUUCAGGAAGAAACUUUGUUUCCUCUAUUGGACAACAAUAGGUAGUUUCUACUCCAAAGGUAUUAAAUUUAAGGACAUGAAAUUGUCAGUUUUGCAGGACAAAAACAGCCAACAAAAAUGGCGAUUUCACCUGGUUCAACACGGUCCUUAACUAGAAAAGG
rnacentral:lncRNA from 1 species